UAGAGAAUAAGUUGAGAAAUAUUCCAAGCAAAAACCCAAAACCCUACCUGUCAAAAAAAUAAAAUAGUUAAAAAGUGAAAACCCCGUCCUCCAUUUCCCAGCUCUCAUACUCAUAAUCUUGUUAGAGAAGGAAACACAACACAGAGAUAGACUGAGCUCCUCAUUCACCACUGCCCCUAAAAUGACUUAUUCAGCUCAAUAAAGCUUUGGAACACAACUUAUUAUGGUAAACAAAAAGGGAAAGAAAAUCCGGCAGAAGUGUAAUCAGGAAUUCGGAAAUGGCGAAGGCAUUCACAAUUCGCGAAGCAGAGCUUCUGAUGAGAAGACGAAGAGCAAGCGGAAUCAGCAUGCAUUUAUGAAUGAGAAUGAUUGCAGGCACCGGCUUCAAGAGCUUUUGUACAGUCCGGAGGAUAUUUUCGCCAAAAUUUUUAGGAAGGACGGUCCUGCGCUGGGCGAUGAAUUUGGUCCUCUUCCGUCUAAUGCUUUUCCAGGCGCUCCGAGAAUGUUUCAUCUAGAAGAGAUCCGGCAUCAUAAAAGAAGAAAGGUUUUAAUGCAUGCCAUGUCAGACUACGAAACUUGUUGUGAGGGUAGCCCACAUGCUCAAAGGUAUGGCAUGGGGAAAGGCCCAAUGACUACACAUGGUGGCCCAGGAAAGAAAUAUGGCAUGGGGAAAGGUUUAAUGAAUAAAGACAGUGUUCGAAGACAUAAAUAUGGAAUCGGGAAAGGUUUGGUGAUAUGUACAAAUCCUGGUUCAAGAGAUUCUGAAUACAGUUCCUGUAGUAGUGGAAGUGUCAUUCAGAAGAAAAAGAAACAAGUGCAGCCAAAGGAGUCUAUUCUGAAAAAAUUGGCAAACAGAGAAAGGGCUAGGAAGGCUGCAUUGAGAUGUAGAAAGGUGGUGGAACCCCAGAAAAUCCAGAAGCGGAAGAAGCCUCGCAAGGAUAAAUGUGAACUUGCUCUUGAAGAUGUGAAGUGUAUAGAGAACACAGAAUUUGAGAUGUUACUAGAUGAUGAGGAACUGGAGCUUAGAGAAUUACAAGUAGGACCCAAUCCGUUAUCUUGUUCUACUCAUUUUACAACCAGUGGUUCUCAUGGUUGUUCCCUUUGCAAAGACUUGCUUCCCAAAUUUCCUCCAAGUUCUGUUGCAAUGAAGCUACCUUUGUCAGUACAACCAUGGGCUUCCUCCCCAGAAUUAGUAAACAAACUCUUUAAGCUUGAACAUCAUGGUGUAUAGUUUGGAGUUCUGGCAGAAGUCACUGAACCUACUGACAUGGAUAGAAAUAUUAUGUCAGGUGUUGACUGCAGCUGGUUUUUGUUCUAAGCUUAAUAUGACAAGAAAAGCAGCAUGCUGUAAGGAAGGCAAUGUCAUGGAUAAGUACGGCUUAAGUCCGCGGACAUUGAAGGGAGAAUUAUUCAGUAUUUUGUUGACCCAAGGAAGUAAUGGAUUGGAAGUCUCUGAGUUGGCAAAAUCUUCAAGUGUAAGUCCGUACUAUAUACAAGAAAUUUUACAACAUCCUACUGGGAAAAAGAAAGAAAUAAAUUUACAGCAACUUCAAAUAUUCAUAGGUAGAACUUGGCUGUGAAUUUACUUUUUCCAUAGAUUGUUGAUUUAAACCUCACCGAUACAUUCCAAAACUUGGAGAAUUUGAUUAUCUCAGCUCUCUCCAAUGAUAUAACAUUGUUUGAAAGGAUUUCCUUGUCUGGAUAUUGUUUGCGGAUACAUACUGUUGAAAAGGAAUCUGCAGAUUUUCCAUCUGAUUCUGAGGAUUUAGGGUGCGGAGAUGACGUUUCUGAAGUUACUGGUGGAAAUUAUGCAAGUGAUUCUGACUACGAGUCCAGGGAUACAAGUCUCUCCAAAAGUGAUGCUAGUAAAUCACAUACUAACCUUCUGACUGUAUACAAUGAGAUUGAUGAGAGCCAUCCUGGUGAACUGUGGCUACUAGGACUGAUGGAGGGUGAAUACUCAGACUUAAGCAUCGAUGAGAAGCUCAAUGCCUUGACAGCAUUGAUUGAUCUAAUUGGUGCUGGAUUCAGCAUCGGAAUGGAGGUCCCCUUGACCUCAAGUGCAGAAUGUCCUCCAAAUAUCAAUCGUUAUGGUUGUGGUGCUAAAUUAAAGAGAUCAAUGGUCAAAUCUGUGCCACUAGGAAGUUGUGAUUUGCAAAGAUCUAGUGGACUCGACAUAAAUACACCAGAACCAAUUGAUUCCUUGGUUCUCAUGUCAAAGAUUGAUGGCAUGGAGAAACAGAUGAAUAUGAAAAACAUUGCAGACCAAACGGAAGCAGAUGAAUUUUUACACCCUAUGCAGUCAAUAUACCUUGGCUCUGAUCGCAGGUACAAUAGAUACUAUUCUUGGGCCCUUGUGAUGAAUUUGAUCCUGGACACAGGAGAAUUUAUUUUGAGUCUUCAGAAGAUGGCCACUGGGAGAUGAUUGACACUAAAGAGGCUUUGCAUUCUUUGCUUGUCUACUUUGGACCAAAGGAGUGCUCGGGAGGCUCGCCUUCUAGCUUCAUUGGAACAACGAGAAGCAAUUCUGAACCAAAUGAUGUCCAGUGCACCAACUGGUAGUGAAAAUAGUCAUCUGCCCCAGCCUGAAUAUAGCUCCUAACCAGUGUCUGACGUAGACAACCGCUCGAGCUUGGGGGAAAUGCAAAAUGAACUUCCUGCUUCUAUUGACAUUGCAGUUGUAGAAGCUGGGAUAAAAGGAGAAAAGCUUUUUGAAAACUAUGACAAUUCCCAAGCUUUUGAUGCCCAGAUAUGGAAGUCAUUUUACUCAGAACUCAACAGUGUUAAAAAUGGACAGAAGGCAUACCUUGACUCACUCAGAAGAUGUGAUCGAUGCCAGGACCUCUACUGGAGAGACGAAAAGCAUUGUAGAUUCUGUCAUAUGACAUUUGAGCUUGAUUUUGAUAUAGAGGAAAGAUAUGCUAUUCAUUCCGUAACUUGCCAGGCAAAGAUUAAUGUUAGAAGAUGCCGAAGGCAGAAAGUUCUACCUUCGCAACUGCAGGCACUCAAAGCUGCAAUCUAUGCGAUUGAGGUUGGUCGUCAUGACUAAAAUGUUUUCUGCUCAUAGCAUUGGUACAACGAGAAAAUAUGUUUUCCUCGAGUUAGUUUUUGUGCCAACUGCUGACAGAUAUGUUGCAGUUUUUCAUAUGCAUAUUUGACUGGUUAACACCUAUUCCUUUUUUGGAAUGCUUGCAUAACUGAUCAUAUUUCCUAAUGGAAUUUAUUAUGUUACUUUUUUAGAUGGAUGAACGAUUAAGAAAGGCAUAGUGAUCCUGUUAAUAGAUGGAAAUUCAUGUUUUUUGAUUCUUA